CUACGGGACGCUGCAGCUGAGGAAAUUUUACAAUGCUCGAAAGAGUGAUAGAAUAAACCAGAGUGUUGUUUUUAAAACAACUUUUAUCUGAUGUAAAAAAUCAGAUGAAUAAGGACUGGGCAAGACCGGUGCCAGCCGCCGCGGUAAUACCGGCGGUCCAAGUUGCAUCCACAUUUAUUGGGUCUAAAACAUUCGUAGCUUGUUUUGUAAGUCUCUUGUGAAAUUUCAUGUCUUAAACCUGAAACGUGCAAGAGAUACUACAUUACUAGAGACCGGAAGACGCAAGGAGUACGAUUGAGGUAGCGGUAAAAUGUGUUAAUCUUAAUUGGACUAACAAUGGCGAAGGCACCUUGCGAGUACGGAUCUGACAGUGAGGAAUGAAGGCUAGAGGCGCAAAAGGGAUUAGAUACCCCAGUAGUC
rnacentral:rRNA from 1 species